CAGCCGCCACGGUAAUACGAAGGGGGCUAGCGUUGCUCGGAAUUACUGGGCGUAAAGGGAGCGUAGGCGGAUCGUUAAGUUGGGGGUGAAAGCCCGGGGCUCAACCUCGGAAUUGCCUUCAAUACUGGCGAUCUUGAGUAUGGAAGAGGUAUGUGGAACUCCGAGUGUAGAGGUGAAAUUCGUAGAUAUCAGGAGGAACACCCGUGGUGUAGACGGCUUUCUGGACCAUAGCUGACGCCGAGACACGAAAGCGUGGGUAGCAAACAGGAUUAGAUACCCCUGUAGUCCCUGUCUCUUAUAC
rnacentral:rRNA from 1 species